CCUGCAAACAAUUUCGUAAGAAACAAGAGAGAAUUAUGCUCCAGAAAGAAAAGUCAAGAUAUGAGUUGUUUAAAAACAAUGCUGGGUGCUUCAUGUUUGCUGUUUUAAUUAUGCAUACAGGGAGAAUUUUCAACCACUUAUUUGCCCGCAUUAUUAAAUAUUAAUCAUUGAAAACAUUAGUCUUGACAACUCACUGUAUAGCUUAAUCCACAAGUAUUCAUCAAACUAAUCCAGAAACUAAUCCUCAGUCAGCCUAUAAAUGCUAAGUGUUAAAGCACAAAAGGGUUAAAACAGGCAUUCACUGGGAACAUUCAUUUUGGUAGACAGUUUUACUUUUAUGAUUUAAAUGAGUGGCAAUUCUCGAGAGAAACUGGACUCCCACUGAGAGGUCUUGCAAGGUCAGGUCUACGUUGUAGUUUCAAAUAACUAGUCGCCACUGGCAACCAACUAAACAUAUAAUUUUGCAUCUAUUUGAACAACUUAUCGACCGGUGUCGCUUUCAGUCUUUCACAGUUCGGAUCGUCGUAAUAAUAUUGUGGACUUUUUGUUGUGACAGUUAAUUUUUUGUUCCAGCAAACUCUAAAGUGGAAUUGUAUAUUCAUUUGACCUGAUUCUAAACAUCUCUUAUCAUCUACGACUUCCCAAAUACAGCUGGACAUUCAUUGUCUUCAUACAAUCGUAUAAACGACCACCAGUAUGUGUGCUGCUCUCCGGUUUCUCCCCCAAGAAGCCUAAGGAAAUCACCCACUCUAAAGAUCCACUAUUAUCCAAAUCAAAAUGCCCUCUCUGUACUUCAGUCACCCCCAACUCUCGGAGAAACUGUUACGCAGUCGAUAUCAGACGACGUAUCUGAAAAAAUUCUGCAGAGAUUCAAAACCUGUACUCCACGGCCAUCGUCAACUUCCAGAGCAUGUUUGGCUCGAACAGAGGCCUGUGGGAUCCCCUACAUUCUGUGUAGAUGAGGUACCCGAGGCCACAUACCUCAGACCACCGUACGCAUCAAGAUUGACUUACUAUGAUGAACUAAAUAAACGGUCAAGACUUCCAGAAGACAGCGAGGCUCGACGCAAAUGCAGAACAACCCAGCCAACACACUACCCUGAAAAGAACAAGUUCCAUAGCUCUAGACCAUCCAGUGAAGGAGGUCAGAGCUUUUUACCAGCAUCAAUGAACGCUCAAGAAACCAUCAACAAAAUGACUUUACAAAAAUAUCGCGAAACAAGUUACGAGAACAUGAUUGGUCCGCGAGUGUUUUUCCGUCCGACUGUCCCGCCACAUCGUCAUGAUUACGUCAUACAUCCUGCAUUUCAUUCCGAAGUCAGGAAACUCCCGCGCGACGUUCCGGUGAGGAAACAUCCAGUGAUGAAUAGAUCAGCAAGAAGAUAAA